CUGCAGCCCGAGUGGUGAUCGAUUUUAUUGAGCCUAAAGCGUCCGUAGCCGGACUAGUAAACCCUUGGGUAAAUUGGGCAGCUUAACUGUCCAAAUUCCGAGGGGACUGCUAGUCUUGGGACCGGGAGAGGUCAGAGGUACUCCAGGGGUAGGGGCUAAAUCCUGUAAUCCUUGGGGGACCACCAGUGGCGAAGGCGUCUGACUAGAACGGAACCGACGGUAAGGGACGAAACCCUGGGGCGCGAACCGGAUUAGAGACCCGAGUAGUCC
rnacentral:rRNA from 1 species